rnacentral:rRNA from 1 species
GAGAAGGAUACACCUGUUCCCAUGUCGAACACAGAAGUUAAGCUUCUUAGCGCCGAUGGUAGUUGGGGGUUUCCCCCUGUGAGAGUAGGACGUUACCACGC